rnacentral:rRNA from 1 species
UACGGGGGGAGCAAGCGUUGUUCGGAUUUACUGGGCGUAAAGGGCGCGUAGGCGGCGCAACAAGUCACUUGUGAAAUCUCCGGGCUUAACCCGGAGCGGCCAAGUGAUACUGUCGUGCUAGAGUGCGGAAGGGGCUACUGGAAUUCUCGGUGUAGCGGUGAAAUGCGUAGAUAUCAGGAGGAACACCGGUGGCGAAGGCGGGUCUCUGGGCCGAUACUGACGCUGAGGAGCGAAAGCGUGGGGAGCAAACAGG